rnacentral:tRNA from 1 species
GGUAGGGUGGCUGAAUUAAGUGUGGGACUGUAAAUCUCAAUAUGGAGCUAGAAGCUCCCCCUGCCAAAAA